CUCCUGAUGAUAAACCUAUAAAUCAUAACUUUCGUUCCACCAUAUCGACCUAUGUGUCAUGAGGAAACAAAUACACUGAAAAUCCUGAUU
rnacentral:snoRNA from 1 species